UACGUAGGGGCCAAGCGUUGUCCGGAUUUAUUGGGCGUAAAGAGCUCGUAGGCGGUUUGUCGCGUCUGCUGUGAAAACCUAAGGCUCAACCUUGGGCUUGCAGUGGGUACGGGCAGACUAGAGUGCGGUAGGGGUGACUGGAAUUCCUGGUGUAGCGGUGGAAUGCGCAGAUAUCAGGAGGAACACCGAUGGCGAAGGCAGGUCACUGGGCCGCAACUGACGCUGAGGAGCGAAAGCAUGGGGAGCGAACAGG
rnacentral:rRNA from 1 species